AGCUUGCUCCAGUGGUUUAGCGGCGGACGGGUGAGUAACACGUGGGCAACCUGCCCUGCAGAUCGGGAUAACUCCGGGAAACCGGUGCUAAUACCGAAUACUUUGCGGCCUCUCAUGAGGCUGCACGGAAAGACGGUUUCGGCUGUCACUGCAGGAUGGGCCCGCGGCGCAUUAACUAGUUGGUGAGGUAACGGCUCACCAAGGCCACGAUGCGUAGCCGACCUGANAGGGUGAUCGGCCACACUGGGACUGANACACGGCCCAGACUCCUACGGGAGGCAGCAGUAGGGAAUCUUCCGCAAUGGACGAAAGUCUGACGGAGCAACGCCGCGUGAGUGAAGAAGGUUUUCGGAUCGUAAAACUCUGUUGUGAGGGAAGAACAAGUACCAACUAACUACUGGUACCUUGACGGUACCUCACC
rnacentral:rRNA from 1 species